GUUCAGCUACUAAGAAGUUUGUAAAUGUUUGUCAAUUUCAUUCAAUAUCUGUAUUUUUUAAGUUCAGCUAUUAAGAAGUUUGUAAAAAAAAAUCCGCAUAUACAAAGAAAUACCCCCGGCACGGGAUAGCUGUGAGCACCACAGUCUUGAACAUUGAGGUCCAAUCUGUGUGGGGUUCAUUGCUGUCGCGAGAAGCUUACCUGCGAACUACAGGACGUGUCCACAGUGGAAAGUGGAAAGCUCCAUACGGAGUAAUUGCAACGGCAGUCGCGGACAAUCAGCGGUAUCGAGUGGAGAGUGUCAGUAAAGCCGGGCGACACCCGCUCUUGCACAAAUACUGAGUGCCUGUGAUGCUCGAUAUGACAAAGCAAGUUGUUGGCGACUUUAAAUAACCAAUGGCCACCAUGUUCCCGCGGCGAUAGGUCCUUUGGACCGGAACGAGCUUGCUCACCUAAGGGAGCUUGACGAGGAUCGCCACCUCCACAAAAAAUUUGGUUACAACAACAACAACAAAAUAAAUACUACUCCUAAAUAUUUCAUCGAAAA